rnacentral:rRNA from 1 species
CGGCGAACGGGUGAGUAACACGUGGGCAACCUGCCCUCAGCUCUGGGAUAACUCCAAGAAAUUGGUGCUAAUACCGGAUGUGACCGCUGACCGCAUGGUCUGGUGGUGGAAAGAUUCAUCGGCUGAGGAUGGGCCCGCGGCCUAUCAGCUUGUUGGUGGGGUAAUGGCCCACCAAGGCGACGACGGGUAGCCGGCCUGAGAGGGUGACCGGCCACACUGGGACUGAGACACGGCCCAGACUCCUACGGGAGGCAGCAGUGGGGAAUAUUGCGCAAUGGGCGAAAGCCUGACGCAGCGACGCCGCGUGAGGGAUGACGGCUUUCGGGUUGUAAACCUCUUUCAGUAGGGACGAAGCGCAAGUGACGGUACCUACAGAAGAAGCACCGGCCAACUACGUGCCAGCAGCCGCGGUAAUACGUAGGGUGCAAGCGUUGUCCGGAAUUAUUGGGCGUAAAGAGCUCGUAGGCGGUCUGUCACGUCGGCUGUGAAAACCCGAGGCUCAACCUCGGGCCUGCAGUCGAUACGGGCAAACUAGAGUACUGCAGGGGAGACUGGAAUUCCUGGUGUAGCGGUGAAAUGCGCAGAUAUCAGGAGGAACACCGGUGGCGAAGGCGGGUCUCUGGGCAGUAAC